UUAUCAACGCAGAGUAGGGGUUUCUUAUCAGAGUUGUAUGUCUCAAACAUCCAUUAGCAAAGCUCUACAUGAAACUUUAAAUGCUCUCCAUCAAGCAGACAAUCAUUGGAUAAAUUUUCCGCGAACUGUAGGCGCAAUGCAAACAAUACAAAGAAGGUUAUAUUCAAUGAUUUUUUGAAAGAUUCGGUUUUCCGAAUGUUGUUGGUGUAGUGGACGGUACACAUAUAGCAAUAUUUCCACCUGAAGGCUAAAUCGAAGAAGCGUACUUUAAUAGAAAAGGAUUUCACUCGCUAAACUCUAUGAUAAAAGAGUCAUAGGAAUUUUGAAAGCGAGAUGGAGAUGUCUAAGGAAAGAAAGGGGUUUGCACUACGAUCCAGUUACUGCUGGUUUAAUUGUUAACAUGUGUUGUGUUCUACACAACAUAUGUAGGCAAUAUGGAAUACCAGAUCCAGCAUUACCUCGUAAUGUUGAAGAGGUAGAGGACAUCGACGAAGAAGAAGAUAAUGAAAUUGAAGACGGAGAAGAUGUCCGAAAUAGUAUUAUUCAAGAUUUCUUUCAGUAGAAUAUUUUUUAAUUUGAUGAAAUGAUUAUAUUUAAAUUUAAAAAAAUUACAUUUUGUUUUAGUUUUAAAAAAAAUUUAAUAAUUCUAAUAAACUUUGUAAAUGUA